ensembl:ncRNA Y54E10A.29 ncRNA
GGGGCCGUUGGGCAGUGGGCCCCCGACGCAAUUGAGAAAUGUUGUUGCACUUGUGAACAAUGGUGUAAUGGGAUAUAUAUUGGUACAU